GAUGAACGCUGGCGGCGUGCUUAACACAUGCAAGUCGAACGGUAAGGCCCUUCGGGGUACACGAGUGGCGAACGGGUGAGUAACACGUGGGUGAUCUGCCCUGCACUUCGGGAUAAGCCUGGGAAACUGGGUCUAAUACCGGAUAGGACUCCGGACUGCAUGGUCUGGGGUGGAACGCUUUUGCGGUGUGGGAUGGGCCCGCGGCCUAGCAGCUUGGUGGUGGGGUGAUGGCGUACCAAGGCGACGACGGGUAGCCGGUCUGAGAGGGUGACCGGCCACACUGGGACUGAGAUACGGCCCAGACUCCUACGGGAGGCAGCAGUGGGGAAUAUUGCACAAUGGGCGCAAGCCUGAUGCAGCGACGCCGCGUGAGGGAUGACGGCCUUCGGGUUGUAAACCUCUUUCAGCAUCGACGAAGCGAAAGUGACGGUAGGUGCAGAAGAAGGACCGGCCAACUACGUGCCAGCAGCCGCCGUAA
rnacentral:rRNA from 1 species